UCAUAUGCUUGUCUCAAAGAUUAAGCCAUGCAUGUCUAAGUAUAAGCAAUUAUACCGCGAAACUGCGAAUGGCUCAUUAUAUAAGUUAUCGUUUAUUUGAUAAUACUUUACUACUUGGAUAACCGUGGUAAUUCUAGAGCUAAUACAUGCUGAAAAUCCCGACUUCGGAAGGGAUGUAUUUAUUAGAUUAAAAACCAAUGCCCCUCGGGGCUCUCUGGUGAAUCAUGAUAACUAGUCGAAUCGACAGGCCUUGUGCCGGCGAUGGCUCAUUCAAAUUUCUUCCCUAUCAACUUUCGAUGUUUGGGUAUUGGCCAAACAUGGUGGCAACGGGUAACGGAGGGUUAGGGCUCGACCCCGGAGAAGGAGCCUGAGAAACGGCUACUACAUCCAAGGAAGGCAGCAGGCGCGCAAAUUACCCAAUCCCGACACGGGGAGGUAGUGACAAUAAAUACUGAUACAGGGCUCUUUUGGGUCUUGUAAUCGGAAUGAGUACAAUUUAAAUCCCUUAACGAGGAACAAUUGGA
rnacentral:rRNA from 1 species